rnacentral:rRNA from 1 species
AACGAACGCUGGCGGCAGGCUUAACACAUGCAAGUCGAGCGCCCCGCAAGGGGAGCGGCAGACGGGUGAGUAACGCGUGGGAACGUACCCUUUGCUACGGAAUAGCUCCGGGAAACUGGAAUUAAUACCGUAUGUGCCCUACGGGGGAAAGAUUUAUCGGCAAAGGAUCGGCCCGCGUUGGAUUAGCUAGUUGGUGGGGUAAUGGCCUACCAAGGCGACGAUCCAUAGCUGGUCUGAGAGGAUGAUCAGCCACAUUGGGACUGAGACACGGCCCAAACUCCUACGGGAGGCAGCAGUGGGGAAUAUUGGACAAUGGGCGCAAGCCUGAUCCAGCCAUGCCGCGUGAGAGAUGAAGGCCUUAGGGUUGUAAAGCUCUUUCACCGGAGAAGAUAAUGACGGUAUCCGGAGAAGAAGCCCCGGCUAACUUCGUGCCAGCCGCCGCCGUAAAAC